GUGAUUGCUUUGGCAGUACAUAUACUAAAAUUAGAAUGAUACAGAGAAGAUUAGCAUGGCCCUUGCACAAGAAUAACACACAAAUUUGUGAAGCAUUCUGUGUUUUU
ensembl:snRNA U6 U6 spliceosomal RNA